AUUGAACGCUGGCGGAAGGCCUAACACAUGCAAGUCGAACGAGUGGCGGACGGGUGAGUAAUGUCUGGGAAACUGCCUGAUGGAGGGGGCUAACUACUGGAAACGGUAGCUAAUACCGCAUACCAUCAGAUGUGCCCAGAUGGGAUUAGCUUGUUGGUGGGGUAACGGCUCACCAAGGCGACGAUCCCUAGCUGGUCUGAGAGGAUGACCAGCCACACUGGAACCUAGAAAAGGUCCAGAAUCCUACGGGAGGCAGCAGUGGGGAAUAUUGGACAAUGGGCGCAAGCCUGAGGCAGCCAUGCCGCGUGUAUGAAGAAGGCCUUCGGGUGGUAAAGUACUUUAAGCGGGGAGGCGUUAACCGCAGAAGAAGCACCGGCUAACUCCGUGCCAGCAGCCGAGGUAAUUC
rnacentral:rRNA from 1 species